rnacentral:misc_RNA from 1 species
AGUGAAGCCUUGUGGUCAAGAAGAGAAGAAGCCAUUGACAAAAGAGAGCAUUUGAUGAAAUACUCGUUUUCACAUCGGGAGAGAAGAAACGAUCAAACUCUACAAGACUUACUAAACAGAAAGCAAAACAGAAGAAGCUACAGGAUUGACCAGUUAGUAGAACUUGACGCACCAAGAAAAGCAGGGUUGUUAGAGAAAUUGAGAUCAUUUACAGACUCAAAUGUUCCUCUAACUGAUAUGGAUGGAAUGACACAGCUUCAAGUGAG